rnacentral:rRNA from 1 species
AGUGAACGCUGGCGGCAGGCCUAAUACAUGCAAGUCGAACGGCAGCACAGCAGAGCUUGCUCUGUGGGUGGCGAGUGGCGGACGGGUGAGGAAUACAUGGGAAUCUGCCCAGUCGUGGGGGAUAACGUAUGGAAACGUACGCUAAUACCGCAUACGCCCUAAGGGGGAAAGGAGCAAUUCGCUAUAAGAUGAGCCCGCGUCUGAUUAGCUAGUUGGUGAGGUAAAGGCUCACCAAGGCGACGAUCAGUAGCUGGUCUGAGAGGAUGACCAGCCACAUUGGGACUGAGACACGGCCCAGACUCCUACGGGAGGCAGCAGUCGGGAAUAUUGGACAAUGGGGGCAACCCUGAUCCAGCAAUACCGCGUGUGUGAAGAAGGCCUGCGGGUUGUAAAGCACUUUUAGUAGGGAAGAUAAUGACGUUACCUACAGAAAAAGCACCGGCUAACUCCGUG